rnacentral:rRNA from 1 species
UACGUAGGGUGCGAGCGUUAAUCGGAAUUACUGGGCGUAAAGCGUGCGCAGGCGGUUUUGUAAGCCAGAUGUGAAAGCCCCGGGCUUAACCUGGGAAUGGCAUUUGGGACUGCAAGGCUCGAGUGCGGCAGAGGAGACUGGAAUUCCUGGUGUAGCAGUGAAAUGCGUAGAUAUCAGGAGGAACACCGGUGGCGAAGGCGGUUCUCUGGGCAUGACCUGACGCUGAGGAGCGAAAGUGUGGGGAGCGAACAGG